rnacentral:rRNA from 1 species
UACGGAGGGUGCAAGCGUUACUCGGAAUCACUGGGCGUAAAGGGUGCGUAGGCUGACUUUUAAGUCAGGUGUGAAAUCCAAUGGCUUAACCAUUGAACUGCACUUGAAACUGGGAGUCUAGAGUUCAGAAGGGGCAGAUGGAAUUAGUGGUGUAGGGGUAAAAUCCGUAGAUAUCACUAGGAAUAUCAAAAGCGAAGGCGAUCUGCUGGGAUGAUACUGACGCUGAGGCACGAAAGCGUGGGGAGCAAACAGGAUUAGAUACCCUGGUAGUCCACGCCCUAAACGAUGAAUGCUAGUCGUCGGGGAGCUCGUCUCUUCGGUGAUGCACUUAACAGAUUAAGCAUUCCGCCUGGGGAGUACGGCCGCAAGAUUAAAACUCAAAGGAAUAGACGGGGACCCGCACAAGUGGUGGAGCAUGUGGUUUAAUUCGAAGAUACACGAAGAACCUUACCUGGCCUUGACAUGGCAGGAACCCUGUAGAGAUACGGGGGUGCUAGCUUGCUAGAACCUACACACAGGUGCUGCACGGCUGUCGUCAGCUCGUGUCGUGAGAUGUUGGGUUAAGUCCCGCAACGAGCGCAACCCUCGUCCUUAGUUGCCAGCAGUUCGGCUGGGCACUCUAAGGAGACUGCCUUCGCAAGGAGGAGGAAGGUGAGGACGACGUCAAGUCAUCAUGGCCCUUACGGCCAGGGCUACACACGUGCUACAAUGGGGCGUACAGAGAGCUGCAAUACCGCGAGGUGGAGCCAAUCUCAUAAAGCGCCUCUCAGUUCGGAUUGUUCUCUGCAACUCGAGAGCAUGAAGCUGGAAUCACUAGUAAUCGCAGAUCAGCUAUGCUGCGGUGAAUACGUUCCCGGGUCU